AACGAACGCUGGCGGCGUGCCUAACACAUGCAAGUCGAACGCGAAAGGGGGCAACCCCCGGUAGCGUGGCAGACGGGUGAGUAACACGUGGGUAACCUACCCGGAGGUGGGGGAUAACCCUUCGAAAGGAGGGCUAAUACCGCAUAAUACCGUGGGGACCUCGGUCCUUGCGAUCAAAGCUGGCCUCUGUUUACAAGCUAGCGCCACCGGAUGGGCCCGCGCCCCAUUAGCUAGUUGGUGAGGUAACGGCUCACCAAGGCGACGAUGGGUAGCCGGCCUGAGAGGGCGAUCGGCCACACUGGAACUGCGACACGGUCCAGACUCCUACGGGAGGCAGCAGUGAGGAAUCUUGCGCAAUGGGGGAAACCCUGACGCAGCAACGCCGCGUGGGUGAAGAAGGCCUUCGGGUCGUAAAGCCCUUUCGGACGGGACGAACGCUUUGCGGUGAAAGCCGCGAAGUCUGACGGUACCGUAGGAAGAAGCACCGGCUAACUCCGUGCCAGCAGCCGCGGUAAUACGGAGGGUGCGAGCGUUGUUCGGAAUUACUGGGCGUAAAGCGCGUGUAGGCGGCCUUGCAAGUCAGGCGUGAAAGCCCUCGGCUUAACCGGGGAAGUGCGUCUGAAACUGCUUGGCUUGAGUACGGGAGAGGGAGGCGGAAUUCCCAGUGUAGAGGUGAAAUUCGUAGAUAUUGGGAGGAACACCGGUGGCGAAAGCGGCCUCCUGGACCGAUACUGACGCUGAGACGCGAAAGCGUGGGGAGCAAACAGGAUUAGAUACCCUGGUAGUCCACGCGGUAAACGAUGGGCACUAGGUGUGGGGGG
rnacentral:rRNA from 1 species